rnacentral:tRNA from 1 species
ACCUGGCUGGCUCAGCUGGUAGAGCGUGUGACUCCUGAUCUCAGGGUUGUAAGUUCAUGCCCUGUGUUGGGCA